rnacentral:lncRNA from 1 species
CAUUUUUCUGUACGAUUUUAUUUGUUGGUGAGUACACAUACCUAUUAUAUAUUUACAAUACCGAGUACUUAUAUUUUAUUCUAUAAUGUACAUUAUUAUGUUUUUUUUAUCUUUAUGUUUGCAGUCUUCACUUCAGUUUCACGAAAACAAAACCAAAAAUCAAAAAUGGGCGCUGAAAAGGUAACCAUGAACAUCGUUGUCGUCGGACUUGUCCAAUCCGCCAAGGCCCCCAAGACCGUCGCCAAGGCCGCCCCAGCCACCAACCAAUUAAUGGUGAGUGUACACUGUUAAAAAACUACUACUAAUUAUUAGCAGUUAACCGCUUAUUAAAUUUAUAUAAGUCGUAAUUUAUUUUUCCAUAAAGCGAUACUAAUAUGAUUUUUACAUUAAAAAAAAAAAAAAUGACUUAUUGCAAAAAUACGAAUACAAUGAGUAUAAUGCACUUUAUAUUAGAGAAUAUAUCCUGGAUAUAUUAUUCGUUUACAAAUCGAGUACUGAGUAUUGGUGGAGAAAUAAUUUACAAAGGUACAUACCAGUACCGGCUAAUAGUUUUUAAUUUACGAUAAAAAAAAAAGUACUUAGGUAUAGCCACUAUGCGUAAUCAAUAAAAUAAAUAUAAAUCAAUUUCGCUAAGUAAAAAUUAAAUGUGAAUAACAAACAAUAUAAUUUUAACAUAAUAUUUAAUAUUAUUAUUAAUAUAAUAUAAUUAUUCUUUUGAUUUUUUAAAGAACGAAUUAGGUACGUUAUUAAAAUGAAAACGAAAUCCUUUUAAAUUCGUUUACUUUUUUCUUUUUAGUACAAUAAUUAAAAUCUGUUCUGCCUUCUCUCAAUUAAGUCUGCUUCUUUCCACUUUAUAAACUAAUCCGGUUUUGAGAUGAACCGAUACCCAGUGAAAAUAUACACACGAAUACUCGAUGCAGGAGCAGAUUUUUUUUUUUUUGUCAAUUACAGACACGUAUUUUUUAUUUCGUUAAUUUUAAUAUCGGUAUCAAAUAAUGGCCGAGUAAUAAUUUAAAUACAUACAGGGUAUUGGUCGAGUAUUGAAUAAUUAUUGGGUUAUUACUCGAUGGCCGAAUACUCUGAAUAUCAUCAGACAUGACUAAUUUAUAGUGAAUUUUGUCUUUAUUAAAAUAUUCUAAUACACUGCGUUUGAUUUUCCCCGAGUUCUCUAUUUGUCCAGUAUAAAAUUAUAAUAUUUUGAACGAGAGUAAUGUAUCAUACAUUUUCCAAUGAUUUAGUUUUUAAUUUGUAUUCACAUUACAUAUACCUACUCAAUAUUAAUCGUAUAAUUUGUGUUUUAAGAAUAUUGCAACCGCCUAAUCUAUACCUACUUACCUCAAACAGGUGUAUUUAUUUGUCGUUUUCUCUUGUUUGUUUCAGUCCUGUUAAACUCACGUAGUCCAAACAUCGCAACCUCAAAAAUGCCAUAGUCCAAAACAAUACAAAUUACAUAAAUUAUUAUCAAUUAAUAUUAUGUAUAUUAUGUGUUGACAUCUCAAAAUAAACCACAUCUUAUCCGUCAU